rnacentral:rRNA from 1 species
ACGCUGGCGGCAGGCCUAACACAUGCAAGUCGAGCGGUAGAUAGAAGCUUGCUUCUCUUGAGAGCGGCGGACGGGUGAGUAAUGCCUAGGAAUCUGCCUGGUAGUGGGGGAUAACGUCCGGAAACGGACGCUAAUACCGCAUACGUCCUACGGGAGAAAGCAGGGGACCUUCGGGCCUUGCGCUAUCAGAUGAGCCUAGGUCGGAUUAGCUAGUUGGUGGGGUAAUGGCUCACCAAGGCGACGAUCCGUAACUGGUCUGAGAGGAUGAUCAGUCACACUGGAACUGAGACACGGUCCAGACUCCUACGGGAGGCAGCAGGGGGGAAUAUUGGACAAUGGGCGAAAGCCUGAUCCAGCCAUGCCGCGUGUGUGAAGAAGGUCUUCGGAUUGUAAAGCACUUUAAGUUGGGAGGAAGGGCAGUAAAUUAAUACUUUGCUGUUUUGACGUUACCGACAGAAUAAGCACCGGCUAACUCUGUGCCAGCAGCCGCGGUAAUACAGAGGGUGCAAGCGUUAAUCGGAAUUACUGGGCGUAAAGCGCGCGUAGGUGGUUCGUUAAGUUGGAUGUGAAAUCCCCGGGCUCAACCUGGGAACUGCAUUCAAAACUGACGAGCUAGAGUAUGGUAGAGGGUGGUGGAAUUUCCUGUGUAGCGGUGAAAUGCGUAGAUAUAGGAAGGAACACCAGUGGCGAAGGCGACCACCUGGACUGAUACUGACACUGAGGUGCGAAAGCGUGGGGAGCAAAC